CUUGUUGUUUCUGUUAAGUAAAGGAAUACAGAUCUUUUAUUUUCUAAUUUUAGUUUAUUUUGCAAAAGGAAAAAUUAAAAUGUGGGAUAUUGCCCCUUCAAGUUACUUUCCUGUUGGUUUCUGCAAUUCCCCUGCACUACAUGAAGUCACAGCUAUUUGAAACUGCAGAGAAUGCUGUCCUAGCAGGUUGAAGUGGUAUUAUCAGUUGUGUAGUAAGCCUCAGUCAAACAAGUGAGUCCCACCUGGUUUUCUUUUUCAUAAGGCAGUAUGAUUCCCUUUCCAGGUGUCUGUAUAUUUACUGACUCAGCUAAAACCCAGUAUCAGUCAGCCAUUAAUUUUACUCAAACAGCUAAACAAUAAACCAAAUGAGAUGAAAUUUUGUGUCAGUGUCCUCCUGAGCGAGCUAUUUUUUUAUUCCAAUAAACUUUCAUUUCCAGUCUUCCAUAUCCACUGAUCAUGUUAUCAGGACCUAUUUGUUUCUGCUGACAGGGUCAGAAGCACAGCUGCCCAAUCUCAGCCUAAUAAACCUGGGACAGAAGGAACACAGCUGUAUUUCCUUAACCACUCCCAGUUGCCUGCACCUUUUCUGUACAUCUAAGUUAUUCUUAGUUUAAAAAAUAGGUGGAUGGGUGCUCAAUUGAUGUGAGUAUCAUUUGGAGCUUUGAAAGGGCUGAACUCUGUUCUCAUAUAACAGAAUCUUGAACUCCGAUGAUCUUGGAUCUAACCCAGAGACUGAUAAAUUGGGUCAAAAGCAGAGCUGUUUUAUCUAACUCUCCUCACAACUGUUUGGGAAUUUGAUUAUAGUGAGAGAUGGAUAUGGACAACUCAAAGUAAAAAAGCAUCACGACUACAGGAAAAUAAGCCAGAAGAAAGUGGUAAAGCAAUGUAUUGAAUUAGUUCACCAAGAUAGCUCGGUAGUAUGGGAAGAUAACUUUCUAAUUUUGCUUUAAGUGCAGAAUCACCUUGGAAGAAAUUAUUUCUACUUGGGUUUCCAAAACAUAUGCCAAGUAACAAUAAAUAAAUUCAGCUGAGGAAAGCAUAAACCAG